UGCCUAAUACAUGCAAGUAGAACGCUGAAGAGAGGAGCUUGCUCUUCUUGGAUGAGUUGCGAACGGGUGAGUAACGCGUAGGUAACCUGCCUUGUAGCGGGGGAUAACUAUUGGAAACGAUAGCUAAUACCGCAUAACAAUGGAUGACACAUGUCAUUUAUUUGAAAGGGGCAAUUGCUCCACUACAAGAUGGACCUGCGUUGUAUUAGCUAGUAGGUGAGGUAACGGCUCACCUAGGCGACGAUACAUAGCCGACCUGAGAGGGUGAUCGGCCACACUGGGACUGAGACACGGCCCAGACUCCUACGGGAGGCAGCAGUAGGGAAUCUUCGGCAAUGGGGGCAACCCUGACCGAGCAACGCCGCGUGAGUGAAGAAGGUUUUCGGAUCGUAAAGCUCUGUUGUAAGUCAAGAACGAGUGUGAGAGUGGAAAGUUCACACUGUGACGGUAGCUUACCAGAAAGGGACGGCUAACUACGUGCCAGCAGCCGCGGUAAUACGUAGGUCCCGAGCGUUGUCCGGAUUUAUUGGGCGUAAAGCGAGCGCAGGCGGUUUGAUAAGUCUGAAGUUAAAGGCUGUGGCUCAACCAUAGUUCGCUUUGGAAACUGUCAAACUUGAGUGCAGAAGGGGAGAGUGGAAUUCCAUGUGUAGCGGUGAAAUGCGUAGAUAUAUGGAGGAACACCGGUGGCGAAAGCGGCUCUCUGGUCUGUAACUGACGCUGAGGCUCGAAAGCGUGGGGAGCGAACAGGAUUAGAUACCCUGGUAGUCCACGCCGUAAACGAUGAGUGCUAGGUGUUGGAUCCUUUCCGGGAUUCAGUGCCGCAGCUAACGCAUUAAGCACUCCGCCUGGGGAGUACGACCGCAAGGUUGAAACUCAAAGGAAUUGACGGGGGCCCGCACAAGCGGUGGAGCAUGUGGUUUAAUUCGAAGCAACGCGAAGAACCUUACCAGGUCUUGACAUCCCGAUGCUAUUUCUAGAGAUAGAAAGUUACUUCGGUACAUCGGUGACAGGUGGUGCAUGGUUGUCGUCAGCUCGUGUCGUGAGAUGUUGGGUUAAGUCCCGCAACGAGCGCAACCCCUAUUGUUAGUUGCCAUCAUUCAGUUGGGCACUCUAGCGAGACUGCCGGUAAUAAACCGGAGGAAGGUGGGGAUGACGUCAAAUCAUCAUGCCCCUUAUGACCUGGGCUACACACGUGCUACAAUGGUUGGUACAACGAGUUGCGAGUCGGUGACGGCAAGCUAAUCUCUUAAAGCCAAUCUCAGUUCGGAUUGUAGGCUGCAACUCGCCUACAUGAAGUCGGAAUCGCUAGUAAUCGCGGAUCAGCACGCCGCGGUGAAUACGUUCCCGGGCCUUGUACACACCGCCCGUCACACCACGAGAGUUUGUAACACCCGAAGUCGGUGAGGUAACCUUUUGGAGCCAGCCGCCUAAGGUGG
rnacentral:rRNA from 1 species